UGGGGAAUAUUGGACAAUGGGCGGAAGCCUGAUCCAGCAACGCCGCGUGAGGGAUGACGGCCUUCGGGUUGUAAACCUCUUUCAGCGGGGACGAAGCGCCGAUGAUGGUGGUGACGGUACCCGCAGAAGAAGCACCGGCCAACUACGUGCCAGCAGCCGCGGUAAUACGUAGGGUGCGAGCGUUGUCCGGAAUUAUUGGGCGUAAAGGGCUCGUAGGCGGUUUGUCGCGUCGGGAGUGAAAACACCGGGCUUAACUCGGUGCUUGCUUUCGAUACGGGCAGACUAGAGGUAUGCAGGGGAGAACGGAAUUCCUGGUGUAGCGGUGAAAUGCGCAGAUAUCAGGAGGAACACCGGUGGCGAAGGCGGUUCUCUGGGCAUUACCUGACGCUGAGGAGCGAAAGUGUGGGGAGCGAACAGGAUUAGAUACCCUGGUAGUCCACACCGUAAACGUUGGGACGCUAGGUGUGGGGCCUAUUCCAUGGGUUCCGUGCCGCAGCUAACGCAUUAAGCCG
rnacentral:rRNA from 1 species